CUCUAGCGACCCCAUGGACUGCAGCCUACCAGGCUCCUUCGUCCAUGGGAUUUUCCAGGCAAGAGUACUGGAGUGGGCUGCCAUUGCCUUCUCUGAACUAAGAUGCAGAUGUGACUUAUUUCCCACCUGAUGAGCAGUGGUCAUCAGUGGCUUAUAAAAGGGGCAAGAUCAAAAGCUCUGUUGGAGUAGGUGCCGAAGGUAACGAACCGUAGACUUCUGGCAGUUUUGCAAUAGAGAAAUGGAGGGUAGUUCCCUUUUUUAAGAUGGGGGAAUUCCACUGUAUGUUGAUAAGGAAGAUGAACAGGGAGAAAUGGGUGAGUAGGGCAGAGAAGCAGUGUCCUAGAGAAGACUGCACUGUUUUCAGGGUGUUUCCAAAGCUCUCUGCACUCCCCUUGGAUCUCUCUCUCUUCCUGACAAGACUGGGAGCUCUUGAGGCGGGUAUCCCCACUUAAAGCAGUAUUGGCCUUCACCAAACUCGAGCGCUCCUACUUAGGCAGAAGGAGAUGGGAUCUAGCAUAGGCGUGAAGUGGCUGUUCUUUGCUGGGAACCUAACAUCUCAUACCACCCAUAGUUAGGAGAACAAGCAGAAGGCAAGAGGAGAGGGCCAGGCUGGAGGUAGAUGUGAUAGUGGGAAGCUCCCUGUGAGUUCUGCGCCUCUAUUAAGUAGGAAGUGGCUGUUGGCUGAAAGAGGAUGGGGUGACCAAAGCGCAUGUGUCUGUAUGAGUCCUCCAUGCCCAGGAGAGGGGUCAUGUAUUUUUGAGAGAAUAAAUGAAUGGUUAAGUGACUUGUCUGUCUAGAUGAGCCUGUGAUUUUAUAGUUACAUGUUAACAGUGAAGAAGUAAUCAAAAUUUCCUUAGCAUCCGGAAUGGCCCUUCUUUUUAGCUGAGUUGAAUCUUCAGCAUCUAAAUAUUUUCUUUCCUUCAGGUGAUUUUCCUUGUCAUUGAAGAAUCUUACCUUGACACCAAAUUUAACUACAUUUAGAAAUUCAGGUCAACAGAUUUAAGUAUUUAUAACUAAUGCUGCUUAAAUGCUGGAAGUGGAAGAAAAUACAUUGCCUAAAGAGCUCAUCAAAGCCUAGUCAGGAAAAGAAAUGUCCUAGGUAAGCAUGGAGAGCUUUCAGGAAGAUGGCUUGUCAAAAAUCCUUUCUUGCCCAUUCAGAUGAUUCUAGGAAAUAGAGCAAGUCUACUUUGUAGACAUAGUGUUGGGAGAAGGACAUAGAGAUGCCAACUCCUAUUACUCUCACUUCUCGCCGUGGUUCCAUGGAAGGACACUCCCAGUUCCAGGCCUUCUGUCUGUUUACGUUACUCUUGGCAGUGGGAAGUUUGAAGGGCAGAUUUCAUUUCCAGAGAACCCAUGGGGCAGUGAGCUAAGGACCAGGGCUCAUGCCCUCUCUGUUUGCCUUUCCCUGCUCCUGUCCUGACUUCCUGCUUCCCAAGAGUCAUACAGAAGAAAUGGAGCAUAUUUAGCUUAUUUUUUCUGAAAACCUGGUCAGUGACAGACCUAAUUGGCUCACCACUGGAUUUUGCCUAGAGAGUCAGGAAGUAAGAGAUACUUUGUCAAUUUUUCUCUUUAUUGAGUCUUGCUAAACAGUACUCUUGCUGUGUGAUGAUUGCACAUUUAUAAAUCCAGCUCUACUAAUUACCUGAACUUAAGUAGGGUGUGACUCUUUAACCUGAAUUAAUCAUAAUAAUAUUCUUUAGAAUCCCUUACACUUUUACAGGCUGAUCUUUGCUGUCUUUUUUCCUUGUUUCUGACAGAUGUCAUUUUUGGGUUCUGUUUUCUCCUUUCCAGUCCUAGGUCUAAUUCAGGCCCUUAUCUUCAGGAGCCUUUUAAGUUGUCCUCUCAUCCAUCCAAAGGACUCCUACUCAUUCUUCAUGCUGCUCUCACAUUAAUCUCCUUAGAGUAAGCACAUCCCUUGCUCUUAGACUUGAGUGGCUGCCCACUGUUUUCAGAAUCAAGUCCAAACUCCUCUGAAGCCCAGCUUUCUGUCAUGACGUCAGUAUGCUCCCAUGAUGAAGCAGCAUUUAUUUCAGUAGUGGGUUCAGAUGCGCUUGUUUUUAGUGAAAUACCAGAAUCAUUCUUGCCAAUGGCAGCCGUUCUAUAACUUAAAAAUAUUUUGUCAGAGAAAUAGCAAUAGUGACUCAUUGAGAAAACUUCCUUAAUCUUCUGACUCUUCUUGAAGACUUUCUGCUCAGGGGACUAUAACUCUCUGAUGCUCUGACAUUUUUAUAAUUUCUUUCACUACAAGCAGUUCAAAGUAUUGAUGCAUAUAACCUUGUUGCUGGCUGUGGUAAGUCUCAAGCAUCAGAAAAUGGAUAGCUUCAGAUACUUUGCUAGGCACACCAGUAUUUUAAAUCCGAAUUGAUAUACUUGGUGCUUUAAGACAGAUGGUUCAUUGCUUGUGAGGCUAAGAGCAUUUGGCAGUACUGAAAUUGAGCCUUCUGUUCAAUCCAGAAUAAUUCAGUGAUGAGUGGGCAACUUUGUACUUUUUUCUUUUUUUUUUUGCUGGAUUUGAAUAUUUGGAAGUGUUUUAGCUUACAUAUUAACUAUAUGUGAGUGCCUUCAUAAAAUGACAUUCCAAGCAUAGGCAAAUACAUAAUCAGUGGGUAAGCACUAUAUCAGUUUGGCAUAUGGCACCACUUGUUUUUAUUUUCAUUAUAGGGAUGUUCCUAGUAAGAUUAGCAAGUAUUCGGCCACAUUUAAACAUGGGCACAAAACUUUCCAGGUUUAAAGUUAACUGUUAGGUAGGCUCAGGUUAGUUAACAUCCAAGGGGAGGAUUUUUGAAUGUGAUUGAAGUGAGUCUGAAGAAGCAGAGGUUUUUAGGUCUCAUGUUGGUCAUCUCUCCUCAGUUUCAUGUGAUCCCUCAGGUAACACCUCUCCUCAGGUACCUUGCUGAGACAGCGUUUCCUUCUUUAAGGCCUGGCUAGAGGAAUGCAAAGAAAAGCAUCUUUAAAGCCCUGUGUUUUGUUACUUAAAUUAGAAAUCAUUUUGUAUUCUUUUUGAUUUGUAGCUUGUUAGAGCUUUCUUAGUAAUUAGCUGGAGAUGUCUUUUCUCCAUGUGUUUUCAAAGUAGGACUUACAUAAUUCUGUGGUCAUUAGGGGCGAUUGGGUGUUGGGAAGACAGCAGCCCUAGUAGCCCAGAACACAGGAACAGCCCGUGGGCCGUCUACAGGGCAACAGCAGUAGCACUGUCACUCUGCAGUCGGCCCUGGGUUUGGGGUUUUGAUGGGUGGAGGAUGUUGAUGGUUAAUUUAGCAGAGGGUGCUAUGAUGUGGAGAAAAUAUCCACCUCAUUUAAGCUUUGGGAAAAGGUUAACUCGUUUGAGCUGAAGUUAAAAAUACUGUUUUGCCUGCUCUCUUAAUGCUGAAAGGAUAAAGAGAUCAAUAAAAAGUUUCCUUGGAUUCUGUAAGUCAGACUUGUCUCUAUUUUUUCUACAUUUCCAGGGAAGCCAAGAUCACACAUAAAGGGGCAUUCUGUAUUUUUAUUGAUUCUAUAAUGUAAAUUCUUUUCUGACAAUAAAUGCAUUGUGAAGGGUACUCUGACCGCUUUUCUAGAUUCAUUUCAUAUAACACAUUCAUGGACUGAUCUCUGUAAGAGUCACUUCUUCACCAUCUGCAGCUUUGAACACACCUGGAAGCCUUAGUUCCUGUCUGCUGGGCAGUGGCAUACAUGGGACAGUGGAACAAGAAGAGUGCUUUAGGAGGACAUGUGCACAGCCAAGUGGCUCGUUGCGUCUCUAAGAAUCACUGCCAUCUGCUUAUUUAACACAGGGACAGUAACCUUAGCUCUGAGGUCAGGUCCCCUCUAGACCAGAAAUCUUUAAAAUCAUCAUUUCUAGUAAAAUGUUAUCCUCAAAUAAAACAUUUUAUCAUUGAAUAAAAUAUAAACUAAUUACCAAGAGUUUCCACCUGACACAUUUUGACACUUUUGAAAGAAUAGAUCACAACUUUUAAAUUUUCAUUGUAUUAUCAUUUAGAGUAAUUAAAGGUCAUUGAUAUAUUAUGAUAGUUUCUUUGUGAGUAAUACAUUCCAAUAGUAAUGACUUCAAUUCUCCUGGAUCUCCAGUUUUUGAACUCGGGGGCCAAAAUAACUACCAGCCUGUGAUGGAGUAACUGAACUCUCACAUUUUCUGUGUACUGUCUUAUUCUAUAAGUAGAACUUUCUUUUCUUUUUUUUUUUAACUUCGCUGGGCCUGAAUUUUCUCAAUUAUCUAAAAGAACGAAAAACUGAGCAACACUGCAGAAAUGUAGUGAUGGGGAAAAUGUGUUUAGUAGCGAAACACUGGGUGGUAUAAAGUAUCUGGAAAGACUUCUUUUAAGCAGUAAAACAAGACAGUUGCAAAUUGUAUGGAUAAUCACAUGUUUGAGUACAGCGUGAAGCUUCACUAUUAGAACAUUGUUUUUGCUCGUGCUAAUAGGUUAUGUCGCAUCUUUCUUUGUUGUUUUUUUGUUUGUUUUUGUCUCUGGGCUCUGAAGAUUGAAGUUUACUAUUAAUUGCCAAGAAGGACAUAAAAGAGGUGUGGUGGAAGGGUCUGCCAGAACCAGAGGCUAAGCACACAGCAGUGUAAAACAAAUUCUUUAUUCCAGCUUCCAGAAUGCAUCCUCUUCAGCCUUUCCUGUUCAUUGGACUAAAGCUGUUAAGCAGUGGUGUCAAGAACCGUCACCCACUGGUUGAAGCUCAAUAGAAAACGAGGAAGCAGGCGGGUUUAGAUCCAGUGGGAACAACUUGACUCAGAUCUUCGCACUUUCACUAAGGAGGGUCGGGGGUGAGGAGACAACAUUUACAUUUGUACUGAAGCUGAUCUGAUGUGAUUGUGACAGUCUUCCAAUCAGUAUUUGUUUAUCUUAAUUUAGUCAUGUGUUAAAAAUGUGAGGGUCAAAUUUACUUCCUCUCAAGGCCACUCGGCAUACACUUCUUGUAGUCUUUGGAAGGGAUGACAAGGAAACAGCCGUGCUUUAAUGAUGGUGCUAGAUGUUUAUGAAAGCUAGGUGUAAUAGUAGAAACAUUUUAUUCUAUAUUUUUAUUCCAAAGUAAAUGCAGUGUAUUAUAUUUAGAUAAAUGUUCAGUGAUAAGCCAGAAAUCUUACACAUACAUUGCUGAAAGACAUUUUCCCUCUGGAUUUAAUAAAAUUCUGGCACACAGAGGUACAAAAUAUAAUUCACAGAUGUAAUGAAAAACCUAGAAAACUUCUUCCCACAUGUUUUCCUUCCUUCCCCUCCCCUCCUGUCGCUUUCCUCCUCUUCUCCACCCCACCCUCCAGUCUUGCUUGCCUUCAUUGCAGGGAAAAAAAAAAAAAAAAAAGAGCAGGUGAGCACAUAAUUAGAUCGCCACUUUAAACUCUGGGUUAGUGGGAGAUCCUGGAAGACCUUCCUCAACUGCAACAAAUGACUUUUUCCACCCCCAUCUGCAUCCUCCCACUACUUUUGAUUAAAUGUUUUUGAGAAUCCGCCAAUAUUUUUAAUUGAUCAAGUGAAAAAUGCGCAGGAAGUAUGCCUGUUUUUGUUUGUAUAUUGUCUUGAUGCGUUGCAUAAAGACCCAAAGGUGCUUUUGCUUCUCUCUGUCCUCACGAGAACUGUGGUUACUGUGGGGUGUGUGGUACUCUGUAGCACACCGUAAAUCUCCACUAGGUGUCAGCGUGUCACCAAGUGAAACCAGCACACUCUGCUGCCCAUUUAAUGAGAAUGCUACAGACAAGUUUUGGUAUACAGGUUAAUAAAUUAUAUUUGUCAGUGAAUAGUAAUAAAAAUGAAAUCUUUAAAAAAUUUAGUAUCUUUCAUCUGAGGUUUUCAAAAUGUUUUACUUAUAUUUUGGUUUUUGCCGUAAGAGCCCCAAAGAGAUAGAGUGCAAAUAUUCGUUUUACAGUAAAAUAAAGCAAGAGGACAAAAUGAUUGGCUCAAGAUCACAUAGACGAUGUCUGAAUAAACCCAGGCUGGUAUUUCUGCCGUCACAGAGUCCACUGUACCUGUGUGCUCAGAUUUAUUAAAAGUGGAAUAAUAGUUAAGAAUUAUCUAAGAUUAUUGAUACGAUUAGUAUGGGGAUGUUUCAGAUGUAAUUUUAAGGUUUUAUAAAGACUGCACAAAGAAAAUGUGCUGAACAACCUAGAUGAAAACUAGAAAUUCAUAGCAAUAUUUUACCUGUGCUAUUUUACAGAUGGUGAACUCAGACCAGUGUGACCCUUGUCUUAGCUCAUGUGCUCAAGUGCAGGAGGAGAAGCAAUUAUAAUUUGGUCUGGAAGGUUGAAGCUCUUGGGUAUGAUAGGAUUAAUGGGCAUAACUGCAUAUUAUGGGUUUUUCACUGUAUCAUUUUCUUUAAGAGGAAUAUACAUAAAAUCCUGUAUAUUAAGACUUAAGUGAUUUUCUCAAAUCUGUAUAAAUACACGUUACAACUGUAAAAGUUAUGUUUGUGGAUAACAAUUAAAAAUACAUAAAUGGCAAGUUAGGGUGGUGUGAUGAUGGGUAAAUUCAAUUUUCUCUUUAUGUGGUAAUAUUGUUUCUACAAUAAAUAAAAAGAGAAAACUUUUUUUUUUUUGUAAAAAUUCACCACAGUCUCCACUUCAGAAAGGCUUAUUUCCUAUUAGUAGUGGUGCAUUGUAUACAGCUGAAAUUCAAAAGGUAUAGUUUGGUUUAUUUACUUCAAAUGUUUUAAUCAUAAAAACCAAGGUUAAACUGGCAGAAGAACAUACUUUCAAACUUUACUGUGUAUUUUAGGUGAAAAUAAAUGAUUGCCCAUCCCAGGAGGCUGUUUGC